UAACGCGAAGAACCUUACCUGGGCUUGACAUGUGCCUGACCCCCCUGGAAACAGGGGUUCCCUUCGGGGCAGGUUCACAGGUGGUGCAUGGCUGUCGUCAGCUCGUGUCGUGAGAUGUUGGGUUAAGUCCCGCAACGAGCGCAACCCCCGUCGCAUGUUGCCAGCAUUUAGUUGGGGACUCAUGCGAGACUGCCGGUGACAAACCGGAGGAAGGUGGGGAUGACGUCAAGUCAUCAUGCCCCUUAUGUCCAGGGCUACACACGUGCUACAUUGGCGCGUACAGAGGGCUGCGAUACCGCGAGGUGGAGCGAAUCCCUUAAAGCGCGUCUCGGUUCGGAUUGCAGGCUGAAACCCGCCUGCAUGAAGGCGGAGUUGCUAGUAAUCGCGGAUCAGCACUGCCGCGGUGAAUACGUUCCCGGGUCUUGUACACA
rnacentral:rRNA from 1 species